rnacentral:rRNA from 1 species
AACGAACGCUGGCGGCAUGCCUAGCACAUGCAAGUCGAACGAGACCUUCGGGCCUAGUGGCGCACGGGUGCGUAACGCGUGGGAACCUGCCCUUAGGUUCGGAAUAACUCCCCGAAAGGGGUGCUAAUACCGGAUAAUGUCUUCGGACCAAAGAUUUAUCGCCUUUGGAUGGGCCGGCGUUGGAUUAGCUAGUUGGUAGGGUAAAAGCCUACCAAGGCGACGUUCCAUAGCUGGUCUGAGAGGAUGAUCAGCCACACUGGGACUGAGACACGGCCCAGACUCCUACGGGAGGCAGCAGUGGGGGAUAUUGGACAAUGGGCGGAGGCCUGAUCCAGCUAUGCCGCGUGAGUGAUGAAGGCCUUAGGGUUGUAAAGCUCUUUUACCCGGGAUGAUAAUGACAGUACCGGGAGAAUAAGCACCGGCUAACUCCGUG